rnacentral:rRNA from 1 species
CAGUAGCCGCGGGAAUACGUAGGUGGCAAGCGUUGUCCGGAAUUAUUGGGCGUAAAGGGCUCGCAGGCGGCUUCUUAAGUCUGAUGUGAAAGCCCCCGGCUCAACCGGGGAGGGUCAUUGGAAACUGGGAAACUUGAGAACAGAAGAGGAGAGUGGAAUUCCACGUGUAGCGGUGAAAUGCGUAGAGAUGUGGAGGAACACCAGUGGCGAAGGCGACUCUCUGGUCUGUAACUGACGCUGAGGAGCGAAAGCGUGGGGAGCGAACAGGAUUAGAUACCCCCGUAGUCCCUGUCUCUUAUAA